CAGCCGCCACGGUAAUACGAAGGGGGCUAGCGUUGCUCGGAAUUACUGGGCGUAAAGCGCACGUAGGCGGCUUUGUAAGUCAGAGGUGAAAGCCCGGGGCUCAACCCCGGAAUUGCCUUUGAGACUGCAUCGCUUGAAUCCAGGAGAGGUGAGUGGAAUUCCGAGUGUAGAGGUGAAAUUCGUAGAUAUUCGGAAGAACACCAGUGGCGAAGGCAGCCAUCUGGCCUAAUACUGACGCUGAGGUACGAAAGCAUGGGGAGCAAACAGGAUUAGAUACCCCUGUAGUCCCUGUCUCUUAUAC
rnacentral:rRNA from 1 species